UCCUCCUGAGACACCAUGAGUGCAACAUGCUGCACCCUGAGCAGCAGCAGCAGAGGCAGCGGGUAGACAAUUGACAGUAUUGUAUUGUGGUUUUUACCCUGUACAGCUCAUCAUACACGAGGCGGAAUUUGGUAAUGUAUUUAGAACUCUCCUGAUGACCCUAUCCACUCCCUGGGCAGUGAUGCUGCAGCUUCACAGGGGAAGGUCUGCCUUUCUGGGUGCUGCUCAGAGUCCAGAGACUAGCCCUUGUAAGGGGUGUGUAAAGUGCGUGACUGUCUGUGUGUGCGGGAGUGUCCGUGUAUGUGCGUUUGCAGAGAGAAUGAGCACACCAGAGAGUGGCGACUGGGGAGCACCAAUCAAGUGCAGUGUCUGGGUUGCGUCUGCUCACUUACCCUUUAACUGUCAAUUGUUCCCCCUGAAAGAGGCCACUUCAGUGCCCAGUUUCUGAGACCCAGAUGUGAGGCAGUUGGACAGCACCUGACCAGUGUGACAGACCGAUGCCUGGCUGCAAUGGCGGGACACAGGCAACACACAAUGUACUGCCAAGCGCAGAAAGCAGAGCAAUGUGUUUCCUCUGCUCUGAGCUACAGCAGCCUGCAGCGUUAGUAUAACUGCUCAGGGCAUACGCUGCAGACUCCAGUGCAGUGUGUAAGCUGAUUGGGUCUCUUUAAGGUCGUGUUUGAUGUGCCUUUUGAAUUGUUUUGAAUUGUUUCAUUAUGAUGUACAGUGCUGGGAUAGGCGGGGGUUAAUCAAUAAAAUGUUUUAUUAUUUUUUGUA